GACGAACGCUGGCGGCGUGCCUAAUACAUGCAAGUAGAACGCACAGUUUAUACCGUAGCUUGCUACACCAUAGACUGUGAGUUGCGAACGGGUGAGUAACGCGUAGGUAACCUGCCUGGUAGCGGGGGAUAACUAUUGGAAACGAUAGCUAAUACCGCAUAAUAUUAAUUAUUGCAUGAUAAUUAAUUGAAAGGUGCAAUUGCACCACUACCAGAUGGACCUGCGUUGUAUUAGCUAGUAGGUGAGGUAACGGCUCACCUAGGCGACGAUACAUAGCCGACCUGAGAGGGUGAUCGGCCACACUGGGACUGAGACACGGCCCAGACUCCUACGGGAGGCAGCAGUAGGGAAUCUUCGGCAAUGGACGAAAGUCUGACCGAGCAACGCCGCGUGAGUGAAGAAGGUUUUCGGAUCGUAAAGCUCUGUUGUAAGAGAAGAACGGGUGUGAGAGUGGAAAGUUCACACUGUGACGGUAUCUUACCAGAAAGGGACGGCUAACUAC
rnacentral:rRNA from 1 species